GUGCAAUCCGCUAACCGGUCAGGCCGUGUCGCGGAAGGUUAGAUUAACCCGCCAAACUCGCGAAGCGCGAAGAAAGGUGAGCA
rfam:Janthinobacterium sp. CG23_2 isolate Janthinobacterium sp. CG23_25 genome assembly, contig: Contig_scf7180000000010_quiver